UUAAAGCUAAGUGUCAACACUAGAUGGACACAAAUCGAUCUUGCAAGAAAAUCAAUUUUGUCAUCAAUAGGAUCAACUAGUGUUGGUACUUAUGCUUAACAAACACAUUAUUCCUAAAUUAAAGCUAAGUGUCAACACUAGAUGGACACAAAUCGAUCUUGCAAGAAAAUCAAUUUUGUCAUCAAUAGGAUCAACUAGUGUUGGUACUUAUGCUUAACAAACA
rnacentral:lncRNA from 1 species